AACGAACGCUGGCGGCAUGCCUAACACAUGCAAGUCGAACGAGACCUUCGGGUCUAGUGGCGCACGGGUGCGUAACGCGUGGGAACCUGCCCUUAGGUUCGGAAUAACUCCCCGAAAGGGGUGCUAAUACCGGAUAAUGUCUUCGGACCAAAGAUUUAUCGCCUUUGGAUGGGCCCGCGUUGGAUUAGCUAGUUGGUAGGGUAAAAGCCUACCAAGGCGACGAUCCAUAGCUGGUCUGAGAGGAUGAUCAGCCACACUGGGACUGAGACACGGCCCAGACUCCUACGGGAGGCAGCAGUGGGGAAUAUUGGACAAGGGGCGAGAGCCUGAUCCAGCAAUGCCGCGUGAGUAAUGAAGGCCUUAGGGUUGUAAAGCUCUUUUACCCGGGAUGAUAAUGACAGUACCGGGAGAAUAAGCUCCGGCUAACUCCGUG
rnacentral:rRNA from 1 species